rnacentral:rRNA from 1 species
CAAGUCGGGAACUCUAACAAUACUGCCAGUGCAAACUGUGAGGAAGGUGGGGAUGACGUCAAAUCAUCACGGCCCUUACGUCCUGGGCUACACACGUGCUACAAUGGUGCGCACAGAGGGCUGCAAACCCGCGAGGGGGAGCCAAUCUCACAAAACGCAUCGUAGUCCGGAUCGCAGUCUGCAACUCGACUGCGUGAAGUCGGAAUCGCUAGUAAUCGCGGAUCAGAAUGCCGCGGUGAAUACGUUCCCGGGCCUU